rnacentral:lncRNA from 1 species
UAUUUAAAAAUUGUUGAUAUAAAAUUUUAUUAAAUAAUCCAUGUAUAACUAGACAAACCAUUGGUCAAAGUUAAAUCUAAGAAAACAUGCACGUCCUAUAUUUGGGAAUGGAUGGAAUAUUUUGUUUGUCCAUCUAAACAUAGGUAUAUGUUUAGGAUCUUGAAAGCAUGAUAUUUUGUACAAGUGAAUUUGUUAUUUUUUUUAUUUUGAACAUUGUAUCUUUUACAAUACUUGGGUCAAAUGCUUGCAUAAUCAUCUUUACUCCUAUAAAUAUUUUUUUUGAUAGAAACUCUGUACGGGAGACCCAUACAAUAUAAUUGGAGUCAUGCACCCACAACUCCACCACCACACCAAGAGGUGUUUCUUCUUACUUUUGAUUGCACCAUAUUUUAACUUUACCACAAAAAAUUAAAGAAGAGAGGAUAUGGAUAUUUUGAUUUUACAUGAAUGGCAAAAUAUCUUUCAAAACAUAUCAUGAAGUUUAUUAAUAUUUGGCAACAUACUGGAAUUGCGCUAGUAUGUAUUGAAUGUCUCGGAAACACUCCGUGAUAUCAUUAUUUCUUUUGUUUAUAAAUAUAUUGUAAUAAAUUAUUGGUCAAAGUUAUUAAAAAUAAUUAAAAUUUUAAAGGCGUGGAACAUCAUACACCUACAUGAUUUGAAAGUCCAAUUCUCCAUUCCAUAAUAUAAGACACA